AUCCUUUGGUUCAUGAACGUGAUGAUUGGGUGUUCAUGCUGUAUGCAUGAGAUGUACCGCCCUCAAACCUUGUUACGAUGUUGGCACAUUACCCGUCUGAUC
ensembl:snoRNA